UGGGGAAUUUUGCGCAAUGGGCGGAAGCCUGACGCAGCGACGCCGCGUGUACGAUGAAGGCCUUUGGGUCGUAAAGUACUGUCAACGGGGACGAACGCCUCAGGUUGAAUAGGUUUGAGGUCUGACGGUACCCGUGGAGGAAGCACCGGCUAACUCUGUGCCAGCAGCCGCGGUAAUACAGAGGGUGCAAACGUUGCUCGGAAUGACUGGGCGUAAAGCGCGCGCAGGUGGCCCGUUAAGUUGGCUGUGAAAUCCCCUGGCUCAACCAGGGAAGUGCAGUCGAUACUGGCGGGCUUGAGUCCGGGGGAGGUGAGUGGAAUUCCUAGUGUAGAGGUGAAAUUCGUAGAUAUUAGGAAGAACACCAGUGGCGAAGGCGGCUCACUGGCCCGGUACUGACGCUGAGGCGCGAAAGCGUGGGGAGCAAACAGGAUUAGAUACCCCCGUAGUCC
rnacentral:rRNA from 1 species